UUUUGUGUCAAAGAAAAUUGUAUUCUCAGCAAUGGAUGAUUCGAGAAUAUGUUUAUCUAUCACAAAUCUGAAUACCUUCAUGGUUAAAAUUACUGUCCUCAUCAUUCCACUGAAACUCCCGGAAGAAGAAGAUAAAAUCCUCUAUCUAGUUGUUGUUGAUUCACUAGCAGCAUAAUGAUAUCUACUCUCAAAACCCAAAUCUUCUUUCAGCGACACAGCCUAGGAUCUUCAAAGAUUUACUGAUGAAGGUGUUUCUCGAAGUUCUGAUGGUGAUGGACGUGAUAAAACAACAGGUGAAUGAAAUAUUGGUACAUUAGAAUGUAUUAAGUAUUUUGAAAUUACGGUUCUUCAAUUACUAUUGGUGGAAGCUCAAAAAAAAAAAAAAAAAAAAAAAUCUUGUUGCCUCUGCUGUUUAUAAUUAAUUGAUUUUUCCUUCUCUCUGAAUCGUAAUUGGGGUUCUUUUCUUCAGAUCGAUAUCCGUCUUAGCAAAUCUUGGGUUCUUCCCCAUUGGUAACGCAAUGGAAAAUCUUUCUCCACACCAGACCCAAGAUUUGUUACGCAAUGGAAAUUUUUUUGCUGAAUCAUUUCCUCGUCAUUUUCUUCACCAUUUUCUUCUCCAAAUGAUGAAUUUAACUAAAGCAUCAACCUCAAAAACUCAAAACCCUACAAAUGAAAAACAAUCGGAACUUCUUCCUCCAUGUUUCUUCGAUCAACAGGCUCAACCUUUGGGGUUUAGAUGAAAUCUUUCCUAAAUCUUCACAAAGAGAUGAUAUUACAGCAAACAAUUCAACAACAAAAAUGUUCUACGGAGGAUGGUUUUUCAUGGAAAUCAUGUAGCAAGUGGCCAAUGAACCAAAAUCAUCUGAAGUAUGUGAAAUUUUUACGUAAACCAAAUCUUCAUCUGGUUAAGUAACCAAAUCUUAAAAUUAAUUGAUUAAGUAGUGUUGUUGCUUAAUAUAGCAAGAUCUUUCUCCACACCAGACCCAAGAUUUGUUACGCAAUGGAAAAUCUUCUUCUCCAUCACUCUAUUUCUUCUCGCCAUCUUAGUAAAUUCAGAAUCAACUAUAGACCAACAUCUGCCACAAAGGAAAAUACUACCAACAUUCAACGUGCUGAAUUUCGGUGCUGUCGGUGACGGUAUUCACGAUGACACUCGAGUUAGUACCCAUCAUCAACUAAUCAGAAAUUUAUUUUGUAAUUUUGGCAAUAAGUUGAAUUUUCAUGAGUUAGUUUAGUUCAAGUCUUAAUUAAUAACUCUGAAACCAUAUAUAUGCUGUGUCAAGGUCUAGGGUCUAGUCAAAGGUUAAAAUCUGGUCAAGUCAACAUAAGUCGAUUGACCUCCUUGUUUUCCAGUUUCAGGACUGCAUCAGUUAAAACUGAAACCAUUUAGACUGAUUUGGCGAUCUUUGUUUGUCUCCCUGACUACAUUGUUGUGGAUAUUUUUUCCUUUCUUCGAUGAUAUUGUGGCAAUCCUUGGGGAUCUUUCUUUUUGGCCAUUGACUGUCUAUAUAUACCAGUACAGAUUUACAUAUCACAUACGAAGCUAGUGAAGUGGAGUAAAGAGUGGGUUAUGCUUCAAAUGCAAACUGCAGCGUGCUUUGCAAUCUCAAUUGCAGAUUUAUCCGGAUCUCUUGUUGUUUUUCUGAUUGGUCCGAAGGAUUUUCGUCCUUUUUAGUUUGAUUAUGAUUGGUAGGUUUUAUUAAUAAAUUCUCUCUAUUUCUGAAAUCCAUCCAUCUUCUUAUUAACUUUUAGAUUCAAGUGACUCAGUAAUGGUUUUCAGUUUGCUCCUAUCAUAAUUUCCAAUAAUAAAUAGGGGGAUUAAAAGUCACCGCCUCAGACAAUGUAUCCUUGUAGUGGUUGCCAUGUUUUUUAAAAAGUUUUGGUUUGCAAGUCUUGUUUUUUCGUUAACACUCAAGGGUAAUUGCAGGGUAAUUAGAAUUAAAAUGUAUGUUCGUUUUGAGUGUCAAUGACUAUGGAUUUGUGAAUUUGUAAUUGCAGGCCAGUGGAAAUAAGUAUGUACAUGAGCUAGUGAAGCUCAUAGAGAUUAUGACUCCUCAAAACAAAGCAGGAACAACCACAGUUAUCGCAAGAACAGGAGCAAAAAUCCAGACAAGGAUUUUCCAAGAACCUUAAGUGACGACGCUACACCCAAGAAACUUUCGGAUGGCAGCACCAGGGAGUGUGAGAACAAACGGUGCAGCAUGCUAUCAAUUGAUGCGGAACCUUAGCGAUUUCUCAAACAUCUGCAGCAACUUUUCAGACCUUAACCGGUUAUGAUCAUGAGACUAUUGCUUUCAAAAUUACUGCUCUGAUGGGUGUGCUAGAAUUUGACUGAGAACGGGAAAUCAACUUACAUGUGUGACACUUAUAUGUUGGCAUUCUUCAACUGGGGGAAGGAGUUGCAGAGAGAUGGUGAAACAUAAUUGGAGUCUAAAUGUGAUAACUUAUACCUCUUUGGUUUGUGGAUUUUGUAAACAACUUGAUUUUGGAAGAAGAAUCCCUGCAGCAGUGUAUUACUACGCAGUCUGUGUUCCUCUUGUUUUUGAUGAAUUUAAACUGAAAUGAGCUCUCUUGUGAUUGACGACGAUUCAUUACUGGUGUUUUUCAGAUUCUUAAUUUUUACUGAAUUCUAUAAAUUUUGGGGUCUGAUUCACAGUUUUA